GGGUUGUGAGGUUAAGCGACUAAGCGUACACGGUGGAUGCCCUGGCAGUCAGAGGCGAUGAAGGACGUGCUAAUCUGCGAAAAGCGUCGGUAAGGUGAUAUGAACCGUUAUAGCCGGCGAUGUCCGAAUGGGGAAACCCAGUGCAAUUCGUUGCACUAUCGUUAACUGAAUACAUAGGUUAACGAGGCGAACCGGGGGAACUGAAACAUCUAAGUACCCCGAGGAAAAGAAAUCAACCGAGAUUCCCCCAGUAGCGGCGAGCGAACGGGGAGCAGCCCAGAGUCUGAAUCAGCUUGUGUGUUAGUGGAACGGUCUGGAAAGUCCGACGGUACAGGGUGAUAGUCCCGUACACCAAAAUGCACAGGUUGUGAACUCGAAGAGUAGGGCGGGACACGUGGUAUCCUGUCUGAAUAUGGGGGGACCAUCCUCCAAGGCUAAAUACUCCUGACUGACCGAUAGUGAACCAGUACCGUGAGGGAAAGGCGAAAAGAACCCCGGCGAGGGGAGUGAAAAAGAACCUGAAACCGUGUACGUACAAGCAGUGGGAGCACCUUCGGGUGUGACUGCGUACCUUUUGUAUAAUGGGUCAGCGACUUAUAUUCUGUAGCAAGGUUAACCGUAUAGGGAGCCGCAGGGAAACCGAGUCUUAACUGGGCGUUAAGUUGCAGGGUAUAGACCCGAAACCCGGUGAUCUAGCCAUGGGCAGGUUGAAGGUUGGGUAACACUAACUGGAGGACCGAACCGACUAAUGUUGAAAAAUUAGCGGAUGACUUGUGGCUGGGGGUGAAAGGCCAAUCAAACCGGGAGAUAGCUGGUUCUCCCGAAAGCUAUUUAGGUAGCGCCUCGUGAAUUCAUCUUCGGGGGUAGAGCACUGUUUCGGCUAGGGGGUCAUCCCGACUUACCAACCCGAUGCAAACUACGAAUACCGAAGAAUGUUAUCACGGGAGACACACGGCGGGUGCUAACGUCCGUCGUGAAGAGGGAAACAACCCAGACCGCCAGCUAAGGUCCCAAAGUCAUGGUUAAGUGGGAAACGAUGUGGGAAGGCACAGACAGCCAGGAUGUUGGCUUAGAAGCAGCCAUCAUUUAAAGAAAGCGUAAUAGCUCACUGGUCGAGUCGGCCUGCGCGGAAGAUGUAACGGGGCUAAACCAUGCACCGAAGCUGCGGCAGCGACACUAUGUGUUGUUGGGUAGGGGAGCGUUCUGUAAGCCUGCGAAGGUGUGCUGUGAGGCAUGCUGGAGGUAUCAGAAGUGCGAAUGCUGACAUAAGUAACGAUAAAGCGGGUGAAAAGCCCGCUCGCCGGAAGACCAAGGGUUCCUGUCCAACGUUAAUCGGGGCAGGGUGAGUCGACCCCUAAGGCGAGGCCGAAAGGCGUAGUCGAUGGGAAACAGGUUAAUAUUCCUGUACUUGGUGUUACUGCGAAGGGGGGACGGAGAAGGCUAUGUUAGCCGGGCGACGGUUGUCCCGGUUUAAGCAUGUAGGCUGGUUGUCCAGGCAAAUCCGGAUAAUCAAGGCUGAGGUGUGAUGACGAGGCACUACGGUGCUGAAGUAACAAAUGCCCUGCUUCCAGGAAAAGCCUCUAAGCAUCAGGUAACAUUAAAUCGUACCCCAAACCGACACAGGUGGUCAGGUAGAGAAUACCAAGGCGCUUGAGAGAACUCGGGUGAAGGAACUAGGCAAAAUGGUGCCGUAACUUCGGGAGAAGGCACGCUGGUGUGUAGGUGAAGUCCCUGCGGAUGGAGCUGAGACCAGUCGAAGAUACCAGCUGGCUGCAACUGUUUAUUAAAAACACAGCACUGUGCAAACACGAAAGUGGACGUAUACGGUGUGACGCCUGCCCGGUGCCGGAAGGUUAAUUGAUGGGGUUAUCCGUAAGGAGAAGCUCUUGAUCGAAGCCCCGGUAAACGGCGGCCGUAACUAUAACGGUCCUAAGGUAGCGAAAUUCCUUGUCGGGUAAGUUCCGACCUGCACGAAUGGCGUAAUGAUGGCCAGGCUGUCUCCACCCGAGACUCAGUGAAAUUGAACUCGCUGUGAAGAUGCAGUGUACCCGCGGCAAGACGGAAAGACCCCGUGAACCUUUACUAUAGCUUGACACUGAACAUUGAGCCUUGAUGUGUAGGAUAGGUGGGAGGCUUUGAAGCGUGGACGCCAGUCUGCGUGGAGCCAACCUUGAAAUACCACCCUUUAAUGUUUGAUGUUCUAACGUUGGCCCCUUACCGGGGUUGCGGACAGUGUCUGGUGGGUAGUUUGACUGGGGCGGUCUCCUCCCAAAGCGUAACGGAGGAGCACGAAGGUUAGCUAAUCCUGGUCGGACAUCAGGAGGUUAGUGCAAUGGCAUAAGCUAGCUUGACUGCGAGCGUGACGGCGCGAGCAGGUGCGAAAGCAGGUCAUAGUGAUCCGGUGGUUCUGAAUGGAAGGGCCAUCGCUCAACGGAUAAAAGGUACUCCGGGGAUAACAGGCUGAUACCGCCCAAGAGUUCAUAUCGACGGCGGUGUUUGGCACCUCGAUGUCGGCUCAUCACAUCCUGGGGCUGAAGUAGGUCCCAAGGGUAUGGCUGUUCGCCAUUUAAAGUGGUACGCGAGCUGGGUUUAGAACGUCGUGAGACAGUUCGGUCCCUAUCUGCCGUGGGCGCUGGAGAAUUGAGGGGGGCUGCUCCUAGUACGAGAGGACCGGAGUGGACGCAUCACUGGUGUUCGGGUUGUCAUGCCAAUGGCACUGCCCGGUAGCUAAAUGCGGAAGAGAUAAGUGCUGAAAGCAUCUAAGCACGAAACUUGCCCCGAGAUGAGUUCUCCCCUGAGACUUUAAGUCUCCUGAAGGAACGUUGAAGACGACGACGUUGAUAGGCCGGGUGUGUAAGCGCAGCGAUGCGUUGAGCUAACCGGUACUAAUGAACCGUGAGGCUUAACCUUACAACGCCGAAG
rnacentral:rRNA from 1 species